AUAGAGAUUACAUGAAA
rnacentral:sRNA from 1 species